GACGUAGGAUGCAAGCGUUGUCCGGAUUUAUUGGGCGUAAAGAGUUCGUAGGCGGUUUGUUAAGUUUGAUGUUAAAGAUCGGGGCCUAACCUCGAGAGUGCAUUGAAUACUGGCAGACUGGAGUGCAGUAGAGGCGAGUGGAAUUCCCAGUGUAGCGGUGAAAUGCGUAGAGAUCGGCAGGAACACCCAGGGGGAAACCAGUCGACUGGGCAGCACCUGACGCUGAGGUGCGAGAGCGUGGGGAGCGAACCGG
rnacentral:rRNA from 1 species